GACGAACGCUGGCGGCGUGCUUAACACAUGCAAGUCGAACGGAAAGGCCCUGCUUUUGUGGGGUGCUCGAGUGGCGAACGGGUGAGUAACACGUGAGUAACCUGCCCUUGACUUUGGGAUAACUUCAGGAAACUGGGGCUAAUACCGGAUAGGAGCUCCUGCUGCAUGGUGGGGGUUGGAAAGUUUCGGCGGUUGGGGAUGGACUCGCGGCUUAUCAGCUUGUUGGUGGGGUAGUGGCUUACCAAGGCUUUGACGGGUAGCCGGCCUGAGAGGGUGACCGGCCUCAUUGGGACUGAGAUACGGCGCAGACUCCUACGGGAGGCAGCAGUGGGGAAUAUUGCGCAGUGGGCGGAAGCCUGAUGCAGCAGCGCCGCGUGCGGGAUGACGGCCUUCGGGUUGUAAACCGCUUUCGCCUGUGACGAGGCGUGAGUGACGGUAAUGGGUAAAGAAGCACCGGCUAACUACGUG
rnacentral:rRNA from 1 species